rnacentral:rRNA from 1 species
AUUGAACGCUGUCGUCAUUCUAUACACAUGCACGUCGAGCGUCAUCGCGGGGGCAACCCUGGCGGCGAGCGGCGAACGGGUUAGUAAUGCAUCGGAACGUAUCCUCUAGUGGGGGAUAACCCAGCGAAAUUUGGGCUAAUACCGCAUGAGCUCUGAGUAGGAAAGCGGGGGACCUGCUAGGGCCUCGCGCUGGAGGAGCGGCCGAUGUCCGAUUCGCUGGUGUGUGGGGGAAAGGCUUACCAAGGCGAGUAUCGGUAGCUGGUGUGACAGGAUGAUCAGCCACACUGGGAGUGAGACACGGCCCAGAGUCCUACGGGAGGCAGCAGUGGGGAAUGUUGGACAAUGGGGGCAAGUGUGAUCCAGCGAUGCCGCGGGAGUGAAGAAGGCCUUCGGGGUGUAAAGCUGGUUCGGACGGAACGAAAUGGGCGGGACUAAUACUCCUGUCUGAUGACGGAACUGAAAGAAGAAGAAAAGGCUAGCUAAGUG